GACGAACCUGACGAACGUUAUUCGGAAUCACUGGGCUUAAAGGGUGCGUAGGCUGUGCAGAAAGUUGGGUGUGAAAUCCCUCGGCUUAACCGAGGAACUGCCCUCCAAACUGCUUGGCUUGAGUCCGGGAGAGGUGAGUGGAAUUCCCAGUGUAGCGGUGAAAUGCGUAGAUAUUGGGAGGAACACCAGUGGCGAAGGCGGCUCACUGGACCGGAACUGACGCUGAGGCGCGAAAGCGUGGGGAGCAAACGGG
rnacentral:rRNA from 1 species